UUCCUCGUUUAAAAAUUCUGAUCUUUGGGCGAUGGAUGCCCUAGCCUGUAUCAGAUCUGCAACAGACCCAUCAAUAGACUUAUCAAUUGAAGCUAAUUGAGCAUCAAUUUGGCUGUUGGGUAAAAACUUGAUUAUCUAUUCUCGUUAAAAAAACGGUAUCGACAAAUAGCUGAGAAAACAUAUAAUCUGAACUUACCUUAG